rnacentral:lncRNA from 1 species
UUCCUGUUAUAUUGUUAGUUUCAUUUUGCAGUUGGAUAAAUAGGGUUAGAGAAUAGGAGGCUUUUCCAGAGUUAAGCAGCUAGAGAUAACAUCAUAAAUAUAGAAGAAAGUGGCUUCUGAAAGGUGUGUUAAAUGUGUAAAAGCUUACUUCCCUUCUCCCAUAAAAGAAGUUGGCGUAAAGGCAGUCUAGGCUUGGCAUGGUGUUUCCGAGACCAUGCUUCAAUCUUUCUCCUCCAGAAUCAUCAGACCAGUUUCUAACCUCAAGUUUACUGCAUGGUCCUACGAUGUCUGCUGGAAAGCCUGUCAUCACAUUCACAUUCCAGGCAGACAGCAGGCGCAAGUGGAUGAGGACAAAGAUCAUUUAUUCCCUCCCCUUUAAGACCCUCCUGAAAGUCAGUCACACAUGACUUUUCCCACUUCAUUGGCCAAAACUUUAUCUCUUGACCACUCCUGGCUAUAAAGCAGCUGGCAAUGCCAUCAUUUCAGGGGUUUAUAUGUGCUGUUCUAAAUACUGGGGUCUGUUCUUACGAGCAGAAAAGAAUGAGAGAAUGGAUAUUGGGAAGCAAGAGCAGCCUCUGCUCCAGCUAGAGAGGGGCAGAAAGACCCUGGUGUAUCCUCAGACUGCUGUACCCUAUGCCUGCUCACAGGACAGACAAGAGCCUUUUAAGGGUGAAGACAGGACUAGACCCCAGCCUCCUGGUCACAUGACUCAGAGAUCUCCCAUAUCCUUUUACCUUCUGUUGCAUGGAGUGGAAUGGGUCGGAGUUUGAGAUGUGGAUCUUUGUGUUAGUCUGAGACUUUUUCUGUGUGGGAGAGAUUGUAUCCUACACACAGUCUAGAAGACAUUGGGGAGGCCCUGAAGCAAUUACUAUUGCUAGAAAUAAAGUGUAGAGACAGAAGUGGGGAUGGGAUGGUACUAGAGAGUUAGGCACAAGUCGAGUGAUGAGAGGUUGAGUCUGGUCUGCACAGGAUCCUAAUAGAUCUUAACAGGCUGCAGCAAUGGUCUAAGCAUAAUGAGGCAAAACUGAAACUGAACAGGAACAGAACAUGUUACACCCGAGUCCAAAAGAAAACUAACAAGAUGCACUGAUGUGACUUAGUAUCUUCAGGAUAAAAAUGACAGAAGCACUUCAGUAAUAUCAGCCAUAAUGUGUAAGGGAGUUAUUUUGAUCUCAGCCUGCAGGAGCAGAGAAUUUCAACGAGGUGAGAGGCAUGCUUUGCCAUGCACAGGCUAGACCACACUUGUCAUGCUGCAUGUAGUUCUGAAAAGGACAGACCAAAGUUUUAAAAGGAGAGAAGCCAGGAUGGGAUUGAAGAAUCCUCAGGUUGUAUAUUUAACAUUUUUAUCAGUCACUUAGGUCACGCCUGCUUACCAAAUUUGUGGAUUACUCUAAUCUGACAGAGGUGGUAGAUACAGUGACAGGCAGAAUCAGUCAAAUAGAACAAUGAGCCAAUGCCAGGCUAUGAAAUUGAAAACAGAUCAAGGUAUCUCACCCCCAAAAAUGAUAAGUAUGUGAAGUAAUGCAUAUGUUAAUUAGCACUAUUUAGCCAUUUCAGAAAGCCUGCUUAUUUCAAACAACAUGCUGUACACAAUAAAUAUAUAUAAGAUCUGUGUCAACUAAAGAAUUAAAAUUAAAAUUAAAAGUCAAAGAAAAAAAAAGAAAAAAGUUUGGAAGAGCAAUCCAUUGUUCAAGAAAGGGAUGAGAGAGACCUGGUACAAUGGCUGUUCUAACAAAUCAGCACUUUAGUGGGCAGCAGGGCUCAUCAAAGUACCAGUGUGUCUGUGUGUGUCCCAGGCUGGUGGAUGGUGGGCUUCCAAGGAGCCUCCAGGCAGCACUGAUAUUCAUGACUUCACCCAAGCCAGGAUUUUGACCUUGGCUUUGUGGGUUUAGAUUUUCAAAGUGUUUGAGUUUCCUGGACUUGGGGAGGCUGACUCUCACUAACAAUGCUUUUAGGAGACUGCAGAUGCCGAAAGUAUUGAUUUUCAGCAUGAAUUCUACUUGUUAGGUACCUUAAACCUGAUCAGCAUACAUAUGGUUCUUCUUCCAUGUAAGAAAACCACAUGAGGAACCAAAUAAUACCUCUAAGGAGUUUUGAGGAGGAUGGAACUGAAAAGAGGGAUUAGGUUUGCAGCAGUUGACUUGGCCAUGGAUUUCUUUGGGUAAGGAGAUGAUCUUUGAUCCCUGUAUUCCAGGGCCUAUCCCAGUACCCCCAAAAGAUGCUCCAUAAAUGUUUAUGAAAUGACUAGUGAAUGAAUGAAUGAAUAAAUGAAGUGAGCUCAGUGGGAAUUUUCCCUUAAUUUUGCUCACUGUUUCACUCCUUGGAAGUAGCCACUUCUCUGCUUCACUUGUAGGCCAGAUCCAGUUAUUAAAUUUCUAAAUUAUCCUUCUGUCUAUGGGGCUGACUCUCUAAUGAGGUCUUGUAAGUCUUUGCUUCCAUCCUCGGAGUCCAGACAAGGAGCUCUUGCCUCAGGCACAGCCUCUGUUCUCUGGGAUGUCUCACCUUUUUAGCAGGGAAGCGUUCUGUGCCAGAUGCUUAACUUGUGUCCUCCUACCAGGGAGAUUCCAUGAGGAACCUUCUCUGUUCACUUUAGGCAGAUUGGAUUGGCUUCUCCUUGCUGUACUUCUAGCUAGAUUAACUGUUAAACAAAUAUCUAUUACUUAUCUGUCAUAUUCUAGGCACUGUGCUAGGACAUGAGAAUGUUCAAGUGGGUAAGAUACAGUUUGACAUAAGGGACAAAGUGCUGCAGUCCAGAAGGAGAGAAGACAAAUAAUAAAUAAUUAUUUUACAGGGUAAUACAUGCUAUGUUAUUAUGUUAUUAUUCUAUAAUAAUUAUGGGAGCACAAUGGGUGAGGAGGGCACUGUGGGAGCCUGGGUGAGGAGCGCCAACCCACCCGGAGGCGCAAGGAAAGCUUUCUGGAGGAGUUAACACCUGAUCUUGUAGGAUGGGAAAGAGCAAGAUAUUAAAGAUAAGUGAUUCCAAGUCAAGUGGUGAGCAAGAUCAAAAUGACAGACACUUGACAUAGCAUGAUGUGUGCAAGGAAACAUGAACUAAUCUGUAUUAUUAGUGAUAACAGUUGAGGAAUGGGGGGUGAGAGGCAGAUGGAGGGGCAGGCAGGGUUUAGGGUGUGGAAGGCAUGGUAAGCUGAGCUAGGGACUUUGUAGGACAUUAACUAGAGUGAGGUGAAUAAGGCCUAUUUUAGGCACAAAAUGUAAAAGGGCUUCAAGGUCUCAGUAACUAGGAUAAGUAAUAUUAAAUGCAAUAUUUUAAACAAAAUUAAUGCAAAAACCCACAGUGAAAAAAAAAUAAAAUUUUAAGAUAAAUAGUAUUGAGUGAAUUCUUAUAAUUUCAUGUUGCUUCAGUAUCCAUUUUGAAUAUAACUUUAACUUUCUCAUACCAGAAGCAGGCUUAGUCACCCUUGGUGCAGUAUCCAGUUUUACAACUCCUCCUAGUUCCUUAAGGUGGUCAGUUCAGCUCUCUGGCUUAUAUAACUCGUGAUAGUUACCUCUCCAUGAGACAGCCAGAUACAACUGACCUAAUUAGCCCCACUGACCUCCACACCCCACAUGGACUGUGCAGGUGUGCCACAGUGGCCACCUCUUAGUCACAGCGUGACCCCCAUGAAACUAAUGCCUGCUUGUACCACCAGUUAGACCUCCCCACAGGAAACCUGCUUGAGUAACUCCCAGGACCCAAUAAAGAAUUUGGCUUACAGGUCCCCUUCUCUCUCUCUUGCUCCCCACCUGCUGGCUGAAUGCACGUGUCCUCAGUGGCUUCCCCCUUUCCAGUGACCCUGGGAGGCAUACUGCCCCCUGCACUGUGGAAUCUCUCAGCCACUUGGGUCUCCUUUGCCAAGGAGUGUCCUCCCUCUGGAACUCAAUACCAGCUCUUUCUUCUUCUGGAAUCUUCUCUCAGCUCU